AUUGAACGCUGGCGGCAGGCCUAACACAUGCAAGUCGAACGGUAACAGGGAUCAGCUUGCUGAUUCGCUGACGAGUGGCGGACGGGUGAGUAAUGUCUGGGAAACUGCCUGAUGGAGGGGGAUAACUACUGGAAACGGUAGCUAAUACCGCAUAACGUCGCAAGACCAAAGAGGGGGACCUUCGGGCCUCUUGCCAUCGGAUGUGCCCAGAUGGGAUUAGCUAGUAGGUGGGGUAACGGCUCACCUAGGCGACGAGCCCUAGCUGGGCUGAGAGGAUGACCAGCCACACUGGAACUGAGACACGGUCCAGACUCCUACGGGAGGCAGCAGUGGGGAAUAUUGCACAAAGGGCGCAAGCCUGAUGCAGCCAUGCCGCGUGUAUGAAGAAGGCCUUCGGGUUGUAGAGUACUUUCAGCGGGGAGGAAGGGAGUAAAGUUAAUACCUUUGCUCAUUGACGUUACCCUCAGAAGAAGCACCGGCUAACUCCGUG
rnacentral:rRNA from 1 species